UUGUAACGUGCACUCUGCUAUCGUCAGACGCGCGAGCGCUGGAAUGUUUUCAAUGUGGAGCGCGCGCAGCGGAGAAGAAUGCUUCAGCUACUCCCACUUCGCGGACGUCCAAUCGGAAGCGAGCAGCCGUUUCAAGGCGCCCCGUGAAAGCCCAACGAAAGCAAAACAAUGGCAGAAUAAACCGCAUACUGGCGUUUUCUUAUCGCUUUCUUCACUUCCGAUCCAUGCGGAUUCACACGCUGGACGCGUUCAAGUCGUUUGCGUUGAGUAUUGACAUUCGGACAGAGCCCAGAGAUGAGGUUGUUUAUGUGUAGUAAGGGGAACUUGAAACCGACCGCCUUGCCCCAUGUCCUCGCUUGUUUUCCUUCUUUCGCUCGGAUUCUCCAUGUUGUCUGAGCGGACUCGACUCUGGCGCAGAAAUAAAUACAGCACGCAUUAAAACGCACAGCUGAUAGAUGAAGUCGGGGCCCCUCCCAUAUGGACCAGGAGACAAGGCGGGAAAAAACAUCCCAAUUACAUGAGACCAGUCGUGAACCUGGAUGAGCCGCAAGCACCGAGGUUUGCUCAAGGUUACGGUGCCAUGUGGACGUUAGCGUGUGGACGAUGCUGAGACGCUUCACAUCAUCACUUUUGUCCGAGGAGCUGCAUUUGCCUGAUGAUACACAACCAGCAUUCAUUUAUUUACUUUAAAUAAAUACAUAAAUAAAUAGAGUUGAUAUUUUAAUAAUAUGAAUAAUAUUUGACCUAAAUAAUAUUAAAAACAUACUUAGAAAAUAUUUGUGCUACAGUUCUUUUAUUAUUGUAUUUUUCUUUAUAUUUAUUGAUUUUUAUUUAUUUUUUUUUUCUUUCAAUUUAAAAUACAGAUAAAUUACAAAUAUACUAGUCUGUUACUGCCUGAAGAAAUACGCCACUAACUAAAGCUAUCAUAAAACCGAAUACUGUCUCAUGUGUUGUUAUAAAUUAUUACAAUCCACAUAAUAUAAGAUUUCUUUUUUAAUUAACAGUAAUUCAUUUGUACUCUAUGGCUACUAAAGCAUUUUUUUGUGUCUAUUAAAGUGCCAGUUUUUUGUGUUAUUUCUUUAAUAAAAUUUGAGUCUGCAGCAGCGA